CAAAAUUUUUCGUUGCGGUGGUUUACAUUUGAUAAUCACCGGGUGAAAAAUUUGCUU
rnacentral:pre_miRNA from 1 species